rnacentral:sRNA from 1 species
GUUUGCACUCAUCGGGGAAGGGUGAGAACCUUCGACUAAGGUUCGAUUCGAGCGCCAGCGAGAGAGCGUUGCCGCAGGCAACGAUCCGAAGGGCGAAGCGCGCAGCGCUGAGUAAUCCUUCCCCCACCACCA